rnacentral:rRNA from 1 species
ACCAGACGAUGCGGUUACCGCGGCUGCUGGCACGGAGUUAGCCGGUGCUUCUUCUGUGAGUGAUGUCCUUCCUGCCGGCUAUUAACCCGCAGGCCUUCUUCCUCACUGAAAGUGCUUUACAACCCGAAGGCCUUCUUCACACACGCGGCAUGGCUGGAUCAGGGUUGCCCCCAUUGUCCAAUAUUCCCCACUGCUGCCUCCCGUAGGAGUCUGGGCCGUGUCUCAGUCCCAGUGUGGCUGAUCAUCCUCUCAGACCAGCUACGGAUCGUCGCCUUGGUGAGCCGUUACCUCACCAACCAGCUAAUCCGACAUAGGCUCAUCCGAUAGCGCGAGGCCCGGAACGGUCCCCCGCCUUUCCCCCGGUAGGGCGUAUGCGGUAUUAGCCGUGGGUUU